UCUGUGUGGGAUAAUCCGAA
rnacentral:miRNA from 1 species